rnacentral:lncRNA from 1 species
GGUAGAUAUGGAGGCAGGAGCAGGUAAAGGGUAGAUAUGGAGGCAGGAGCAGGUAAAGUGUAGAUAUGUAGUUAGGAGGCAGGUUAAGGGUAGAUAUGGAGUUAGGAGGCAGGAGCAGGUAAAGGGUAGAUAUGGAGGUAGGAGCAGGUUUAGGGUAGAUAUGGAGGCAGGAGGCAGGUUUAGGGUAGAUAUGUAGUUAGGAGGCAGGUUACGGGUAGACAUGGAGUUAGGAGGCAGGAGCAGGUAAAGGGUAGAUAUGGAGGCAGGAGCAGGUAAAGGGUAGAUAUGGAGGCAGGAGCAGGUAAAGGGUAGAUAUGGAGUUAGGAGGCAGGAGCAGGUAAAGGGUAGAUAUGUAGUUAGAAGGCAGGUUAAGGGUAGAUAUGGAGAUAGGAGGCAGGAGCUGGUAAAGGGUAGAUAUGAAGGCAGGAGCAGGUAAAGGGUAGAUAUGGAGGCAGGAGCAGGUAAAGGGUAGAUAUGGAGGCAGGAGCAGGUUAAAGGUAGAUAUGGAGUUAGGAGGCAGGUUAAGGGUAGAUAUGGAGUUAGGAGGCAGAUUAAGGGUAGAUAUGGAGUUAGGAGGCAGGUUAUUAAGGGUAGAUAUGGAGUUAGGAGGCAGGAGCAGGUAAAGGGUAGAUUUGGAGGCAGGAGCAGGUUAAGGGUAGAUAUGGAGUUAGGAGGCAGGAGCAGGUUAAGGGUAGAUAUGGAGUUAGGAGGCAGGAGCAGGUAAAGGGUAGAUAUGGAGGCAGGAGCAGGUAAAGGG